rnacentral:rRNA from 1 species
GAUCCUGGCUCAGGAUGAACGCUAGCGACAGGCUUAACACAUGCAAGUCGAGGGGCAGCGAGGAAGUGGCAACACUUCUGUCGGCGACCGGCGCACGGGUGAGUAACGCGUAUGCAACCUGCCCUUCACAGGGGGGAUAACCGGGAGAAAUUCCGACUAAUACCGCAUACGUCCUCCGGGGGCGAUCCCAGGGGGAGUGAAAGAAUAUCGGUGAAGGAUGGGCAUGCGUGAUAUUAGGUAGUUGGCGGGGCG